rnacentral:rRNA from 1 species
AUUGAACGCUGGCGGCAUGCUUUACACAUGCAAGUCGAACGGCAACGCGGACUUCGGUCUGGCGGCGCGUGGGGCACGGGUGAGUAAUGUACCGGAACGUGCCCAGUAUCGGUGGAUAACAACGCGAAAGCAUAGCUAAUACCACAUCCGCCCUACUGGGGAACGCCGGGGAUCGUUAGACCUUGCCCUCUUUGAGCGGCCGAUUUCGGAUUAGCUAGUUGGUGAGGUAACGGCUCACCAAGGCGACGAUCCGUAGCUGGUUUGAGAGGCCGACCAGCCACACUGGAACUGAGACACGGCCCAGACUCCUACGGGAGGCAGCAGUGGGGAAUUUUGGACAAUGGGGGCAAGCCUGAUCCAGCAAUCCCGCGUGUGCGAUGAAGGCCUUCGGGUUGUAAAGCACUUUUGGCAGGAAAGAAACGUUGCGGGCUAAUACCCCGUGGAACUGACGGUACCUGAAGAAUAAGCACCGGCUAACUACGUG